AAAUCAGUUAUGGUUCCUUUGAUCGCUCACCCGCUACUUGGAUAACUGUGGCAAUUCUAGAGCUAAUACAUGCAAACGAGCGCUGACCUUCGGGGAUGCGUGCAUUUAUCAGACUUAAAACCCGCGCGGGGUGCUGCCGCGUGGUGGCCCCCGGCCUGUUUGGUGACUCUAGAUAACCUUGGGCCGAUCGCUCGCCCUCGCGGCGGCGACGACUCAUUCGAAUGUCUGCCCUAUCAACUUUCGAUGGUACUCUAUGUGCCUACCAUGGUGACCACGGGUAACGGGGAAUCAGGGUUCGAUUCCGGAGAGGGAGCCUGAGAAAUGGCUACCACAUCCAAGGAAGGCAGCAGGCGCGCAAAUUACCCAUUCACGACACGUGGAGGUAGUGACGAAAAAUAACAAUACAGGACUCUUUCGAGGCCCUGUAAUUGGAAUGAGUGUACUUUAAAUCCUUUGGCCAGUACCAAUUGGAGGGCAAGUCUGGUGCCAGCAGCCGCGGUAAUUCCAGCUCCAAUAGCGUAUCUUAAAGUUGCUGCAGUUAAAAAGCUCGUAGUUGGAUCUCGGGGCCGGGCUGACGGUCCG
rnacentral:rRNA from 1 species